UGAUCUGCUCCUCUCCACAUCCAGCGGCUUGUGUGUCUGCCUGAUGAGGUCAGGAAGUGGCUAAGAAGAGAUCCAUGAAGAUUAACAUUCAGUGCUCAAUUUCUGAAGGAAACAGGGAGUGAAAGGCCGUGGAAGAAAACAGGGCUGCCACGAACAUGCUCUUGGCUGUUUGAAAAGAUCCAGCGCAGCUUGAACUUCAAAAAUAACUCCAUUCACUAUGGUUGCAGUUGGGCUUGGGGAAUUUCUCACAAUCAAAAGCAGCUGCUUCAUCUCAUUUAGCCAUUAGGCUGAGCUCCACAGGCUCGCUGCAGGAUCUUAGAGCCUACAAGGCCCUGCUAAGAGUAGCCGCGUUUUCCAGCAUGCAGUAGAUCAGCGAGUGUUUACAUUUGUGUUUGGAAUGCUCAUGAGUCCUUUGGGGCAAAGACUGAGUCAUUAAUCAGAGCUUUCUAUGAACGUAUUGCUGCCCAAGCCUCUGUGAAUGUGAGUACGGCCUUGUCCCCUGAGUGACGCUGAAAGAGAGUGAAGCACAUGUGCUCCAUAGGACUGCCACGGCCACCCCUCUCAUUCACUUUUCCAUUCAGCGCUGAGACUAAGUUUAACUCAUUUUUCUUUUGUUGUGAAAAGAGAAUGCACACAAAAAUUCAAAUGUUACCAAAUCGAUAUCAGGUAAGAGACAAAAUUUCCCCUCUCUGGUACUCAUAUUCCCAGUCCAUCCUCUCUGAGGUUAUAACCUCUGAUUGUGCCAGGCAUCAUUCUAGAAUGUCUGAGCAUAUGCAAAUGAGUGUGCAUGAUGUACAUUAUAUAUAUAUAUAUUUUAGAAACAG
rnacentral:lncRNA from 1 species